rnacentral:rRNA from 1 species
UACGGGGGGGGCAAGCGUUGUUCGGAAUUACUGGGCGUAAAGGGCGCGUAGGCGGCCAACUAAGUCAGGUGUGAAAUCCCUCGGCUUAACCGGGGAACUGCGUCUGAUACUGGAUGGCUUGAGUUUGGGAGAGGGAUGCGGAAUUCCAGGUGUAGCGGUGAAAUGCGUAGAUAUCUGGAGGAACACCGGUGGCGAAGGCGGCAUCCUGGACCAACACUGACACUGAGGAGCGAAAGCCAGGGGAGCAAACGGG